rnacentral:rRNA from 1 species
GUAGGUGGCAAGCGUUGUCCGGAAUUAUUGGGCGUAAAGCGCGCGCAGGCGGUUCUUUAAGUCUGAUGUGAAAGCCCACGGGCUCAACCGUGGAGGGUCAUUGGAAACUGGAGAACUUGAGUACAGAAGAGGAAAGCGGAAUUCCACGUGUAGCGGUGAAAUGCGUAGAGAUGUGGAGGAACACCAGUGGCGAAGGCGGCUUUCUGGUCUGUAACUGACGCUGAGGCGCGAAAGUGUGGGGAGCAAACAGGAUUAGAUACCCUGGUAGUCCACGCCGUAAACGAUGAGUGCUAAGUGUUAGGGGGUUUCCGCCCCUUAGUGCUGCAGCUAACGCAUUAAGCACUCCGCCUGGGGAGUACGGCCGCAAGGCUG